UUACAACGAUUUGCAUAGUCGGAUAUGUCUAUAAAUACCCUGCUUCUAAGUGCAAGAUGCAUAGACCAAACGGGACAUGCCAAAAAAACAGAACAACAACGGAUUAGCGGAACCGUUGUUGUUGUUGCUUGUUGUUUUUCUGGAAGGCACGCGCCUUUUUUCGUCUUUUUCACUUGCGUUUACUUAAGUGAAGGAGUUAGAAGUGACAGAAAUCUACGAGCAACUAACUUUGUCAAAUUCAAUAGUGUCUUAAAAUUGAAAUAGAAACAAUUCCCAGACAAGGCUGAUGGUAAAAAUGGAUGGCUAAGUCAAUCCAUUUUAAGCAUAUUAUCCGAGGAACUUGUUCUGUCCCACAACUUGGAGGGGGCCAAAACAAGAAGAAGCUCAAAGUCUACCCAAAUUUCGUCCGCGCCUUGUUAAAUUCAAUCGCUCGGAGCCCUCGGAGCCUCCCGAAAAGGCACUGCAAAAAGCAAUGAGGUGCGUGAAAAACCAGAUGCUGAAGAACCGACGACUCCGAUAACACCGGGAACCCCCGAACUGAAAUUUUAAAUAAAAAUUACAAUUGAAAUUAUAUUUGCUGCUAAGCGCUCAACGGGUGCCGAAUGUGUGCCUUUUCUACUGCCUAAUCCAGCGCUCAACGUGUGCCGAAUGAGUGCCUUUUCUACUGCCUAAUCGAGCGCUCAACGUGCGCCGAAUGUGUGCCUUUUCGACUGCCUAAUCGAGCGCUCAAAGGGGUGCUCAAAAAUGCGCCGAAUGGGUGCUAGUUUUU